rnacentral:rRNA from 1 species
UCGAGAAUCUUCCGCAAUGGACGCAAGUCUGACGGAGCGACGCCGCGUGCGGGAUGAAGGCCUUCGGGUUGUAAACCGCUGUCAGUGGGGUGGAAAUCCUAUGGGGCAAUCUCCAUAGGUUGACCUAACCGCAGAGGAAGUCCGGGCUAAGUACGUGCCAGCAGCCGCGGUAAUACGUACCGGACGAACGUUAUUCGGAAUCACUGGGCUUAAAGAGUGCGUAGGCGGUCUAACAGGUGGGGUGUGAAAUCCCGCGGCUCAACCGCGGAACUGCGCUCCAAACCGUUAGGCUUGAGGGAGACAGGGGUGAGCGGAACUGAUGGUGGAGCGGUGAAAUGCGUUGAUAUCAUCAGGAACACCGGUGGCGAAGGCGGCUCACUGGGUCUCUUCUGACGCUGAGGCACGAAAGCUAGGGUAGCGAACGGGAUUAGAUACCCCCGUAGUCC